ensembl:snoRNA SNORD31 Small nucleolar RNA SNORD31
AGCAGAAGUGAUGAGCCUCAGUUACCGCCCCAGUCUGACAAUUCAUGACUGAUUGGUACCCUCUGAUCACCACCACUUGGG